rnacentral:rRNA from 1 species
AACGAACGCUGGCGGCAGGCUUAACACAUGCAAGUCGAGCGCAUCCUUCGGGGUGAGCGGCAGGCGGGUGAGUAAAGCGUGGGAACGUACGCUUUGCUACGUAAUAGCUCCGGGAAACUGGAUUUAAUACCGGAUGAGCCAUUCGGGGGAAGGUUUUAUCGGCAAAGGAGCGGCCCGCGCUGGAUGAGCUAGUUGGUGGGGUAAAGGCCUACAAAGGCGACGAGCCAUAGCUGGUCUGAGAGGAUGGUCAGCCACAUUGGGACAGAGACACGGCCCAAACUCCUACGGGAGGCAGCAGUGGGGAAUAUUGGACAAUGGGCGAAAGCCUGAUCCAGCCAUGCCGCGUGAGUGAUGAAGGCCUUAGGGUUGUAAAGCUCUUUCAGUAGGGAAGAUAAUGACGGUACCUACAGAAGAAGCCCCGGCUACUUCGUGCCAGCCGCCGCCGUAACAC